CUAAUUAAAGUGAUUUGUGACUCAUUUGCAGUAUUACAGGUUACAGAUGGAAGCGUCUUGAUCUGCCAAAGCUUCCUUUCGGCACAGAGCGAUCCACUGAACAAGGAUAGAGAGAGAAGAUAAAGAGCUAGAUUUGUACAUUUUCAAGAAACCCCCCAGGGUCGGCCUCUCCACUCAAGAGCGCACGCAGGCCCUCUAACCUACUAUCUACACCACAACGUAUGUUCAGUCUCAGUGAGGUGAAGAGAGCAGACGUGAGAGAACGACUCUUCACGGACCGCCACAUCCUGAGGAAGAGAAAGCAACAUGCUCAGCGCAGGCCAUGAGAAUGUCAGCCACUGGAAAGAGCUGGGCUCUCACACACACACACAAACCAGACACACCACAAGAGCAAAUGAAAGAGGUGGAGGUGAUAAAAUGAAAAGGUAGCAAACAGAGCCAUGCUUCAAAGACCAGAGCGGAAGGGUGCAGAUCGCUGCAGGGCAGACACAUUAUAGCCACCGUGACCAACCUCUCUCUCUCUCUCUCUCUCUCUCGGUUGUGAAUGAGGAAACCACUGAAGCUGAUCUCCUGACCGACUUCUCCAGUCCAGGCCUUCGAUGCAGUUAAUGGAAACCAGACUCUUCUCGUCCAUCUUCCACCACUGACACCUUGUAACACUCUCUGGAGGUGUGUGUGUGUGUGUGCACACGUUCACACCCAUAUGUUCCAGCAGGGGAGCUGUGGUCAGGAGAGUCGACCUAUUUUCUGACUUUCUGCAGACUGCUGGCUUACAGAGCAAGGGUAGACAGGGCCCUCGGCCAUAUGGGCAGCCCCUUGUUUACCCAGUGGACCGCCCGAUGGUGUGACAGUGAGCUAUGAAGGUACUCUCAGCACCACAUCUGCACAUGAAUCAGGGGUUACCCUGAAUCUGAAUGCAGCACAAGAAAGCCUCACCAUAUUGAUCAUACCUUUGGGAUAUGUUCUAAACCACUAAUUUCAAAAUGUUAACGCAUAACUCGUCCUGAACCAUUACAAUAACAAGCUAUUGAACUAAUGGU